rnacentral:rRNA from 1 species
GAUGAACGCUGACAGAAUGCUUAACACAUGCAAGUCGAUGGGGAAGUGGUGCUUGCACCAUGGUAACCAUGGCGGACGGGUGAGUAACGCGUAAGGAACUUGCCUGCGGGACCGGGAUAACAGCAGGAAACUGCUGACAAGACCGGAUAAGGUCAUUAAGCCGCAUAGCUUGGUGAUGAAAGGAGACGCCUGCGGAGAGCCUUGCGUCCUAUUAGCUAGUUGGAGGGGUAACGGCCCACCAAGGCGAAGAUAGGUAGCCGGCCUGAGAGGGUGGACGGCCACAAGGGGACUGAGAUACGGCCCUUACUCCUACGGGAGGCAGCAGUGGGGAAUAUUGGACAAUGGGGGCAACCCUGAUCCAGCAAUUCUGUGUGCACGAAGACGGUUUUCGGAUUGUAAAGUGCUUUCAGCAGGGAAGAAGGAAGUGACGGUACCUGCAGAAGAAGCGACGGCUAAAUACGUGCCAGCAGCCGCGGUAAUACGUAUGUCGCGAGCGUUAUCCGGAAUUAUUGGGCAUAAAGGGCAUCUAGGCGGCCUUUCAAGUCAGGGGUGAAAACCUGCGGCUCAACCGCAGGCCUGCCUUUGAAACUGAUAGGCUGGAGUACCGGAGAGGUGGACGGAACUGCACGAGUAGAGGUGAAAUUCGUAGAUAUGUGCAGGAAUGCCGAUGAUGAAGAUAGUUCACUGGACGGUAACUGACGCUGAAGUGCGAAAGCCGGGGGAGCGAACAGG